UUUGCUCUUGGACAUCUCUCAGAUGCAGAGAUAUGGAAGGGAGAUAAGGAAAUCUACUGCUUCAGAAGCAUAUUAAAAUGUAUGUUAAGGUUGGUGAAGCCUCUACAAUGGGACUGGUCUUUUUGAAACAAGGAAACAGCUGUCCCUGGUGUCUAACCUGAAGGAUGUUCUGUACCCUGCAGCUUUUCAGGAGUUUAAAACGAUGCUUUGAGCUGUGUGUUGGCGUGCAGCUGGUGAUGCCAGAAUCAGAAGCCCACUGCUUUCACUGGAAAUCUCUGAACAGGAGUCUCGGUGUACUUUGCAUCAUCAAGAGAAUAUCUGAAGGAUUUCAGUGCAGAAAAGUUCUUUGGAAUAAAUUUAAUGCUGGAAAAAAUGAUGUCAUGUAAUAACAAAACUGGCAAGUUCAUUCACAGGGUUACACCUCAUACAGUCAGCUGAGGCAGGGGCGUCCUUUCGGCUCUUCCCA